CAGUGACAGGUGCUGCAUGGCUGUCGUCAGCUCGUGUCGUGAGAUGUUGGGUUAAGUCCCGCAACGAGCGCAACCCUCAUCCCUAGUUGCCAUCAUUCAGUUGGGCACUCUAAGGAAACUGCCGGUGAUAAGCCGGAGGAAGGUGGGGAUGACGUCAAGUCCUCAUGGCCCUUACGCGCUGGGCUACACACGUGCUACAAUGGCAACUACAGUGGGCAGCAACCGGGCGACCGGUAGCUAAUCUCCAAAAGUUGUCUCAGUUCGGAUUGUUCUCUGCAACUCGAGAGCAUGAAGGCGGAAUCGCUAGUAAUCGCGGAUCAGCAUGCCGCGGUGAAUACGUUCCCAGGCCUUGUACACACCGCCCGUCACACCAUGGGAGUUGGUUUCACCCGAAGGCAGUGCUCUAACCCGCAAGGGAGGAAGCUGACCACGGUGGAUCAGCGACUGGGG
rnacentral:rRNA from 1 species